UGCCCAGCAACUCCUAUCCUUACCUCCUCGCGGCCGGGGUACGAGUAAUCUUAGGGAAGACUGGGUAACCAACCCCCGGUGGGAACUUUGGUCGUAUGCUGACAGGGAGGG
rnacentral:ribozyme from 1 species